UAAGGUGCAUUUAGUGCAGAUAG
rnacentral:ncRNA from 3 species